rnacentral:rRNA from 1 species
CUACGGAAGGCAGCAGUGGGGAAUCUUGCGCAAUGGGCGAAAGCCUGACGCAGCAACGCCGCGUGGGGGAUGAAGGCCCUCGGGUUGUAAACCCCUUUCAGCAGGAACGAAGAUGACGGUACCUGCAGAAGAAGGCCCGGCUAACUACGUGCCAGCAGCCGCGGUAACACGUAGGGGCCAAGCGUUGUCCGGAUUCAUUGGGCGUAAAGAGCUCGUAGGCGGUUCAGUCAGUCGGGUGUGAAAUCUCCGGGCUCAACUCGGAGGGGCCACCCGAUACUGCUGUGACUUGAGUCCGGUAGGGGAGUGGGGAAUUCCUGGUGUAGCGGUGAAAUGCGCAGAUAUCAGGAGGAACACCGGUGGCGAAGGCGCCACUCUGGGCCGGUACUGACGCUGAGGAGCGAAAGCGUGGGGAGCAAACAGGAUUAGAUACCCUGGUAGA